ACGUGACAAAGAUAAACAUGGCGUCUUCCCGGAGACCGCUAGUUUGUUUACGCUCCGGGAUUUGGAGCUUGUUGUUAUACAGUGUUUACACUCAUUUGAAGCUCGUUCUGGCAGAGGAGGUGGACAGCUGCGAGAACUUGAGACUCGGACAGUAUCUCUGCAACGACCCAAAGAUCAACAAAGACACGCAGGAGCCGGAGAACUGCACGGGCAUGACGGCCUGGGUGGAGUGCCUUCCAGCUCCGAACAUCAGCUGUCGGCUCUCUAACGGGACAGAGUUCAGGUUCAGCGGUGAGGAGGUGGGCUUCAACAAAACCAUCCCCUGCAGGAACGUGAGUGGUUAUUCCUACAAAGUAGCUGUGGCUUUGUCUCUGUUCCUUGGCUGGCUGGGGGCAGACCGCUUCUACCUGGGAUACCCUGCUCUAGGACUGUUGAAGUUCUGCACCGUUGGCUUCUGUGGAAUUGGUACUCUGAUCGACUUCAUACUGAUCGCCAUGCAGCACCGCCCCCCCUCCGAGGGCCGCAGGAUGAGCGAUGCUUCCUGAACUUCUCUAAUGAUCGUGGGUCCCGCUGACGGGUCAAACUACAUCGUGGAUUAUUACGGCGCCCGGCUGACCCAACUGUCCAUCACCAACCAGACGUACAGGAAGCCACACCUGUCUCUGUGAAGCCGUCCAUCAUGCAAACACAGACUGCAGGACCUGACGUUGAUAAAUGGACCGUUUAAGGACAAAAGUUAUUGAAAGUUGCUUCAACCCGAACCUUCAGGCCCGUUCGCUCCCAAACUGUUCACCUUCACAUUUUGUCAUUUAAGUCCUAUUUCUGUCUUUACGUCUGUUCAGUUUUCAGUUUUAUUCAAUGUGAUUUAGUUGUAAUGUAUUUUGUAUUAUUAUUGUGAUGUUUUGCUGCUCUUUGGUCUUUAAGUUAUGAUGCUGUUCCACAAUAACUGUCUUUGUUAAUAAAAAGUUCAUUUUUGUGUUAAUCUACACUUCACGGUUUUUAUUAAACAUCGCCGUUGUGUUGAAGUUGACACGCUGAGGAUUUGCGGUUUGCUUUGAUGUUUUUUAGUUACUUAAUAUCUUACUUUAUUUAUCAUGUGACUGGACUCUGUUAUAGUUUUUCCUUUUCUUAUUGGUCUUUAUCAACACUUGUAUGUUGAGGAUACUCACUGGCACCACGGAUAUAAUUAAACACUGCGUACAUUAAACACUGCUCUGAAGUGAA